UACGUAGGGGGCUAGCGUUGUCCGGAAUCAUUGGGCGUAAAGCGCGUGUAGGCGGUCCGGUAAGUCCGCUGUGAAAGUCGAGGGCUCAACCCUCGAAUGCCGGUGGAUACUGUCGGGCUUGAGUACGGGAGAGGCGAGUGGAAUUCCUGGUGUAGCGGUGGAAUGCGCAGAUAUCAGGAGGAACACCGGUGGCGAAGGCGGGUCUCUGGGCAGUAACUGACGCUGAGGAGCGAAAGCGUGGGGAGCGAACAGG
rnacentral:rRNA from 1 species